UGAGUUUGGUUUAAAGUGGGGGAAACACCUCUGAGGCGACUUAGCGCUUCCGCACCCGUUGUAAAGAGCAGUCUGAGCGCCUCCACCCAGGCUGGCUGCUCACGUCUUUGAAAUCAGCUCUGGUGACCUGUGAUUCUUUUUUUUUUUUUUUUCCUCUGUGCCAUGGAUGGCCUGGCAGCCAAUUGCUCCUGGCCCCGGAGCUGUCUGCAGCCGACUUGCCCUGCCUGUGACCUGCAAGUGUCUCUCCCUGGCUGGAUGGAUUGGAAAGCCCACAACUUACUUCUGGCAUUUUACUGUUAAGCCAUCUCUUCUGUCUGUGUUUGACAAGGUCAAACUCUAUCCCAGAUGGAAUUUGUGAGCAGGAACACAGGAGGAGUGGAUGUGUUCAGACAGGCAGACAAUGUCAAUGCCAGCGGUGAGCGGAGAAAACAAGUUAAGACUUCAGCUGGGGGGGGGGGGG